rnacentral:tRNA from 1 species
GAAGUGGUAGCUCAGUUGGUUAGGCUUUUUAUUGGAGAGCUUAGCGGCCUGUCACGCCGGGGGUCGCGGGUUCGAGUCCCGUCCACUCCGCCA